rnacentral:rRNA from 1 species
UACGAAGGGGGCUAGCGUUGUUCGGAAUUACUGGGCGUAAAGCGCGCGUAGGCGGUGAUCUUUGUCAGAGGUGAAAUCCCGGGGCUCAACUCCGGAAUUGCCUUUGAAACGGGAUCGCUUGAGUCCGAGAGAGGAUGGCGGAAUUCCCGGUGUAGCAGUGAAAUGCGUAGAGAUCGGGAGGAACAUCUGUGGCGAAGGCGGCCAUCUGGACCAGCACUGACACUGAGGCACGAAAGCGUGGGGAGCAAACAGG